rnacentral:rRNA from 1 species
UACAUGGGGUGCAAACGUUGCUCGGAAUUAUUGGGCGUAAAGCGCGCGUAGGCGGUUACUUAAGUCGGAUGUGAAAGCCCUCGGCUUAACUGAGGAAGUGCACCCGAAACUGAGUAGCUAGAGUACGAAAGAGGGUCGCGGAAUUCCCGGUGUAGAGGUGAAAUUCGUAGAUAUCGGGAGGAACACCGGUGGCGAAGGCGGCGACCUGGGUCGAGACUGACGCUGAGGCGCGAAAGCUAGGGGAGCAAACAGG